rnacentral:misc_RNA from 1 species
GAAAUGCGAUAAGUAGUGUGAAUUGCAGAAUUCAGUGAAUCAUCGAAUCUUUGAACGCACAUUGCGCCCCUUGGUAUUCCAUGGGGCAUGCCUGUUCGAGCGUCAUUUGUACCCUCAAGCUCUGCUUGGUGUUGGGUGUUUGUCCCGUCUCCGCGCGUGGACUCGCCCCAAAGUGAUUGGCAGCCGGCGUACUGGUCCCGGAGCGCAGCACAUGUCGCGCAAACGAGUGCCUUGGUACGGCGGCGUCCAUAAGCCCCUCUCUCACGCUCUUGACCUCGGAUCAGGUAGGGAUAGCCGCUGAACUUAAGC